AGAAUAUGAUGAUUAAAGUUAUCCCUGGCUGAUGCAACUGAUGAAUUCUUUGUUCUGAUUCUCCUUG